CCUUGACCAAAGUUGUUAGGUCGCGUUUGUUGACCAGUCUAAGGUUAAAUUUGGAGAAAAGUCGUCGCCCUGGCGGAACAACUGGUCUUAUUGAAUAUUAUUAUGAUUACUAAUAGUAUUCAUUGAGAUAAAACUAAUAGAUCAAGAUCGUAAAUUUUUCACAUAUCAUCGAAAAAAUCAUAAACAACUGUUAUAUCUUGUUGUUGCUACCCUUGAAAUAUUCCUGAACUCUAACCUCAGGUAUUAAAUACGUAAUAAUAAAAAUUAAAACUCAUACUUCUUGAUAACUGCUUUUUUUUUUAAAUCGAUGUAAUUGUUGAAACAUCAACUUUACGAUCCAAAAUAAUGAGUGUAUUUAGAGGAUUAAGAUUGUUUGCUCUUCGAAUGAGUUCUGUUGAAAAGAAAUUAUUUUCUCAAAAAAAUUUAGUAUAUACAAAUGUCGGUAUUUCGAUGUCGGUCUCUGCUGUAGCAGAUGUUUUAGCGCAACAUUCCGAAAUUUUAAAGGGCAAAUCGAAUGGUUGGUUUCCAAAACAAAUUACUUAUAAUACUAUAGCUGGAAUACCCGUUGGACUUCUCUCUCAUUAGUGGUAUAAAUUUUUAGACGCAAAGCUCCCCGAAAGAACUGUUAAGAUUGUUUUGAAAAAAGUCGCCGUAAAUCAACUUUUUUUUCUUACAAUUUAUGGUGGAAUACUUGCUAUCCCAUUUGCUAUCGCAUUUGCUUUUUUAGAAGAAGAAGACUGGCCGAAGUUUAAAACUGAAUGUGACAAUGACGAUCAAGUGUUAGCUGAAUGGAUUGGAUUCAUACUUUCUCAAAUGAUCAAUUUUUAUUUUGUACCUACAAGAUUUAGAGUUCUUUAUGAAUAUACUGCUUCUUUGGGUUAUGAUAUUUACACCGGUCAAGUUAUACAUAAACAUACUG